AACUCCUGAUAUUAGAGGGAAGAAGAAAAACCCUAGGAUCCUAUCUUGGUUUCUGUAAUAAUGCUAGCAGAGUACACACAAGAAGAGAAGUAUCUGUACUAGAUCCUAAAGACUGAGGUGGACCUGUUUCUUAAUAUCCAGUGUCCUUUGUCUUAAGAUUUGGUGCAAUAUGC